rnacentral:rRNA from 1 species
UAGAGUUUGAUCAUGGCUCAGGAUGAACGCUGGCGGCGUGCUUAACACAUGCAAGUCGAACGAUGAAGCCCAGCUUGCUUUGGUGGAUUAGUGGCGAACGGGUGAGUAACACGUGAGUAACCUGCCCCCGACUCUGGGAUAAGCCUGGGAAACUGGGUCUAAUACCGGGUAUGACCUCUCACCGCAUGGUGGGUGGUGGAAAGAUUUAUCGGUGGGGGAUGGACUCGCGGCCUAUCAGCUUGUUGGUGAGGUAAUGGCUCACCAAGGCGACGACGGGUAGCCGGCCUGAGAGGGUGACCGGCCACACUGGGACUGAGACACGGCCCAGACUCCUACGGGAGGCAGCAGUGGGGAAUAUUGCACAAUGGGCGCAAGCCUGAUGCAGCGACGCCGCGUGAGGGAUGACGGCCUUCGGGUUGUAAACCUCUUUCAGUAGGGAAGAAGCGAGAGUGACGGUACCUGCAGAAGAAGCGCCGGCUAACUACGUGCCAGCAGCCGCGGUAAU